rnacentral:lncRNA from 1 species
CCAGUGGCUUUCAGGAGAGCCUGGGCUGGAGACAGAACAGCUGACAGAGGGCACCCAGCCACUCACAAAAGUCUCUGUAUUUGAUUGCCACCCAGGAUGGGACUUCCCAGUUCUUCUGAUGCUUCUAGGUAUCUUCUGGAAUAUGUGGCCAAUACUACAGUUGUCAGCAGCUCCUGCUUCUCCUGCCUAUUGUUCCGUUUCUUCUCCCAGAAUAUCUGUGUCUGUCAGGGGCAAACUCACGUGUCCUCCGCCCCCCAUGUCUGUCUGGGAGUCCCCUCUCCGUUCCUGCGUCCAGCUUCACCAAGACUUAGCCAAUGGGAAUCUCACACGUAAGGACGAAUUCGUCUUGUUGUCCUAUUACAAAUUCAUUUUCGCUAAUUUUUCUUCUUUUUUUCCAAUAUUCUUGGCUGCUCUUACCCUCUCACUCUUUUGGAUGAAAGAUCUAAAGUAUUUAUGA